GAUGAACGCUGGCGGCGUGCCUAAUACAUGCAAGUCGAGCGAAUGGAUUAAGAGCUUGCUCUUAUGAAGUUAGCGGCGGACGGGUGAGUAACACGUGGGUAACCUGCCCAUAAGACUGGGAUAACUCCGGGAAACCGGGGCUAAUACCGGAUAACAUUUUGAACCGCAUGGUUCGAAAUUGAAAGGCGGCUUCGGCUGUCACUUAUGGAUGGACCCGCGUCGCAUUAGCUAGUUGGUGAGGUAACGGCUCACCAAGGCAACGAUGCGUAGCCGACCUGAGAGAGUGAUCGGCCACACUGGGACUGAGACACGGCCCAGACUCCUACGGGAGGAAGCAGUAGGGAAUCUUCCGUAAUGGACGAAAGUCUGACGGAGCAACGCCGCGUGAGUGAUGAAGGCUUUCGGGUCGUAAAACUCUGUUGUUAGGGAAGAACAAGUGCUAGUUGAAUAAGCUGGCACCUUGACGGUACCUAACCAGAAAGCCACGGCUAACUACGUGCCAGCCGCCGCGGUAA
rnacentral:rRNA from 1 species